rnacentral:lncRNA from 1 species
GGUUAUAGUAGCAUUCACAAGGGGUUCAAGUGUUAUGAUGUUGCUGCCAAUCGUAUACGCACAUCAAGGAAUGUGAUUUUCUUUGAUGAUCAAUAUUUUUUUCCUGAUCAAGCACCUAGCUCGCUUGUUUUGGCUACUCUUCCUAACUUUGAUGAGGUGCCUCGUGCUAUCGAGCGCUUUACACCAGGGAUUGUUUAUGUCAGA